AAAACUAGCCAGUCUUUUGGGUAUGAAACCCAUUUGGGCGAGAGUAGUACUAGGAUGGGUGACCUCCUGGGAAGUCCCCGUGAAAGGGUUUC
rnacentral:rRNA from 1 species